rnacentral:rRNA from 1 species
UACGGAGGAUCCAAGCGUUAUCCGGAAUCAUUGGGUUUAAAGGGUCCGUAGGCGGUUUUGUAAGUCAGUGGUGAAAGCCCAUCGCUCAACGGUGGAACGGCCAUUGAUACUGCAAGACUUGAAUUAUUAGGAAGUAACUAGAAUAUGUAGUGUAGCGGUGAAAUGCUUAGAUAUUACAUGGAAUACCAAUUGCGAAGGCAGGUUACUACUAAUAUAUUGACGCUGAUGGACGAAAGCGUGGGGAGCGAACAAG